rnacentral:tRNA from 1 species
UACAUCGAGCCGGGAUCGAACCGGCGACCUUCCGCGAGGCUUGGUGUGUAGAUCUUUGCAGGUCUUAUACACUGUUAGGCGGGCGCGCUACCGACUGCGCCAUCGAUGC